rnacentral:rRNA from 1 species
UACGGGGGGGGGCAAGCGUUGUCCGGAAUCACUGGGCGUAAAGGGCGUGUAGGCGGGAAGGAUAGUCAGAUGUGAAAUCCCUGGGCUCAACCCAGGAACUGCAUUUGAAACUCCCUUUCUUGAGUGCUGGAGAGGAAGGCGGAAUUCCUGGUGUAGAGGUGAAAUUCGUAGAUAUCAGGAGGAACACCGGUGGCGAAGGCGGCCUUCUGGACAGUAACUGACGCUGGAGACGCGAAAGCCGUGGGGAGCAAACAGG